CAAGCGCCAAGCGAAGAAAAAUAAUAGCGCUAAAUCUCAAAUAUCACAACCGUCCACUCUUUCCACAACUCCCAAUUUACAAUUUCUUUCUACAAUUCCCAAGCGAAAAGAAUAACUCACUCUGGUGACCAAAGAUAAUUCGAAAAAACAGCUGAAGGUUAAUUCUCUAACAUCGGGAAUUUCUAAUUCGAUUAUAAGUUAUGACUUCUAAAUGACGAGGGCAGUUAGCAAAAGUGUUUGUUUGCAAGACGAACCAAAUGUUUCACAACAAAGGUUGGAAACCGAUGAAGGUAAUAAUAAACAGUGAACUGAUUACUUUAUUACUCUAAUGAAGCAGUUAUGAUUUCAAUAUAUUCUUUUAUAAUGAUAUACAAGUUUCACUACUAAGACAGCAAUAGGCAGAAGAGUUUAUUGUAGAAAUCUACAUUAAAAAACUUUGGACAUGGUCACAUCUUCAUGGCCCUUCGCACCACAGCCAUGAAAGUGUGCCACCAUUGGAGAAUGAGGGCUUGAGUGUAGACGUCGAACAACAAGAAGAUGAAGGUAAUGGGAAAUCAAACAUUGUGACAAGUUGUGUAACCUUUUAAAUAAUAGACUAAUCAUAUUAUACUCGUCGUUCUUCAAAGCAUUGCAUCUGGUGCUGAAAUUGUUGAAAAGCAAAGUAGAGGCCCUACGUAUAUGAAAAAUAUUUGGGGUCGCCCUCUAAACUUGUCUCCCAUUCAUGUUGAAUAUAAUGAGUUCGGUCAAGCUAUAGGUGGUGAGGAUAGCACUCUCUGCCAUUUCCUAGGUUCGAUUGCAAGAAGCGGUAAUUAUUGUCCUAUAGAUAUUAAAAGUUGGCAUGCCAUUCCAAAGGAGAAAAAAACUGAGAUGCUUGACAUUGUAAAAGUUACGAGUCCAUGUCCCUAUCACUAAUGAGAAGUGGAUUCUGGAAUCUGUCGGGCUUAAAUGGAGAAACUGGAAGCAUAACUUGAAAACACGAUACUGGGCUGACGUACCUAUCGAGCAUUUAAUAGAUGAUAGGGACGAAAGAGUUUUGGAAGUUCAAUGGAUCAAUCUCUUUGCCUAUUGGAGAACAUAACAUGCCAAGAAUGCAAGCAAAAGAAACAAAAAAGCUCGAGAGAAAAAGUUAAUGAAUCAAAGAACAUGAAAGAAGUCGUUUGCCCAAGUUAAAGCCAAAAUGACCAAAGAACUUGGACAAUGCCCAUCUCGUGUUCAACUUUUCAAAACUUGUUUUGUUUCUUCAAAUGGAAGCACAAGUGAUGCGGUCUCUAGCAAAAUUUCAGCAAUGGAAGAUUGUAGUGAUCAAUCUUUUGAAGGUUCGGACGAUGCAAUUGCUCCAGAUGAUAUCUUUGCCCAAAUCAUGGGGAAGGAUAGACCCGGCCAUGUAAGGAUGAUGGGUAAGGGAGUGCGUCCUUCAGAUUUAUGAAUCGAAACUUCUAAAAGCACAUCAAACCGUUUGCUAGUGGAGUAUCGAGAAAAGAUUGAACGGCUGGAGGCAAGGCUUGCAACACAAGAAAGAACUAGUGGUUCACAAGAAGGCACUAGGCCAAAUGUGAUAGUCUCUGAGCCUUCCUCAGUAAAUGCUACAACAGCUCAUAUUGAUCAGGUUGCUACAUACGUGUGUCUAAGAAGUGUUUUCACAAAAAAAAUCGUUGCUAAAGGAUGUAUUCAUAGCAUAGAUCCAAGUACAAAAGUUGGCGGACGAAUGUUGGGAUUGAAUUGGUGUGAAAUAAAUGUUAAAGUUGUGGUUGAACCUAAGGAACAAUUGAUCAGACCCUACGACAACUUGCAAGAGCUUUCCCAGACAGUUGGUCAUAUGAUUGUUGGCCAUGUUUUUUUGGUGGUGUCGCAGAGAACGUUUGCUCUUUCGACAGAUUUAAGAGGCUAACAUAUCUGAAGAAACAAGCAAUGCACUUCUGGAUAUUAUCUUUUGUGUAUUUUACAUAGAAGAAGAACAAAACUUUUAAUAUUGUUUAGUAUGCAUGUUAAAAAACAUUUUGGCAUUAGAUACUUUGAACUUUUGUUAUGUAAAUAAGGCGUUUUAUUUUAA